rnacentral:rRNA from 1 species
AGUGAACGCUGGCGGCAGGCCUAAUACAUGCAAGUCAAACGGCAGCACAGUGGAGCUUGCUCCAUGGGUGGCGAGUGGCGGACGGGUGAGGAAUACAUGGGAAUCUGCCCAGUCGUGGGGGAUAACGUAGGGAAACUUACGCUAAUACCGCAUGCGCCCUUCGGGGGAAAGCCGGGGACCGUAAGGCCUGGCGCGAUUGGAUGAGCCCAUGUCGGAUUAGCUAGUUGGCGGGGUAACGGCCCACCAAGGCGACGAUCCGUAGCUGGUCUGAGAGGAUGAUCAGCCACACUGGAACUGAGACACGGUCCAGACUCCUACGGGAGGCAGCAGUAGGGAAUAUUGGACAAUGGGCGCAAGCCUGAUCCAGCCAUGCCGCGUGAGUGAAGAAGGCCCUCGGGUUGUAAAGCUCUUUUGUCCGGAAAGAAAGCACUGGGUUAAUACCCCGGUGUCCUGACGGUACCGGAGAAUAAGCACCGGCUAACUUCGUGCCAGCAGCC